UGAGCUUCUCGUUUUCAACAAUUGCAGCCUGCAGCUCCUUUUCUUUGUGACUCAAACUUUCUUUCAGGUCUGACAGCUCGUCUAUCGUCUUUAGUGAUGAAACUUCCUUGGACUUCAGCUCCUCAUUUUCACAGACGACAGCCUGUAACUCAUUCUCUUUCACGAGCAAACUUGCAUUGAAAUUUGUUAACUCUUCUAUCUUCUUUUGGGAAAGAGAGUCCUUGGAUCUCAAGUCCUCAAUCUCUACGACCAUAUCAUGCAACUCAUUUUCUUUAUUAAGCAGAUCCUCUUGCACCUUCGACAACUCCUCAAUCUUCUUAAGAUAUGCGGUCUCCCUUUCUUUGAGCUCCUCUUUCUCAUGAAUAGAACUCUGGAGGCUGCUUUCUUUUUCAGAUAACAUUUCAUGCAGUUUUGACAACUCCUCAAUCUUUUGUAGAUACGCAGUCUCUCUUUCUCUCAAUUCCUCAUUUUCCUGAACAACUGUUUGCAAUCUGCUCGCUUUAUCAACUAAGCUUUCAUUCAGUUCUGACAACUCCUCUGUCUUCUUAAGUAAUGUACUCUCUCUUUCUCUGAGCUCCUUACUUUCUUCAGAUAUUUUCUGCAGAUUGGUCAAAUUACCAGCCAAGGUCCCAUUCGCCAUUGACAAUUCCUCAAUCUUCUUAAGAUAAUCAGCCUCCCUCUCUCUGAGAUCCUUACUUUCUUGCGCAAUGCUUUGCAUAUUGGCCACAUUAUCAACCAAGCUCUCAUUGGUCUUUGACAACUCCUCAAUCUUCUUCAAAUGAGCAGCCUCCCUUCCUCUGAGCUCCUCAGCCUCUUGAUUAAUGUGCUGCAGUUUGGUCUCUUUAUCAACCAAGCUCUCAUUUGCCCCUGACAACUCCUCAAUUUUCUUAAGAUAAGCAGUCUCUUUUUCUUUGAGAUCCUUACUUUCUUGAACAAUGCUUUGUAAAUCCGUUACGUUAUCAGCCAGGGUCUCAUUCACUACUGAUAACUCCAUAAUCUUCUUAAGAUAAUCAGCUUCCUUUUCUUUAAGAUCCUCACUUUCUUGAACAAUGUUCUGCAAUUUGGUUACGUUAUCAACCAAGUUUCCAUUCGCCAUUGUCAAUUCCUCAAUCUGCUUCACAUGAGCAACCUCCUUUGCUUUCAGCUCUUCAGCUUCUUGAGAAACGCUCUUUAACUUGGU
rnacentral:lncRNA from 1 species